rnacentral:rRNA from 1 species
CCUGGUUGAUCCUGCCAGUAGCAUAUGCUUGUCUCAAAGAUUAAACCAUGCAUGUCUAAGUACCAACCGCGGGUACAGUGAAACUGCGAAUGGCUCAUUAAAUCAGUUAUGGUUCCUUUGGUUGCUUGCUCCUCUCCUACUUGGAUAACUGGGGUAAUUCUAGAGCUAAUACAUGCCGACGGGCGCUGACCCCCUUCGCGGGGGUGGAUGCCUGCAUUUAUCAGAUCAAAACCAACCCGGUCAGCCCCUCUCCGGCCCCGGCCGGGGGGCGGGUGCCGGCGCCUUUGGUGACUCUAGAUAACCUCCGGCGGAUCGCAAGUCCCCCGUGGCGGCAACGACCCAUUCAAACGUCUGCCCUAUCAACUUUCAAUGGUAGUGGCCGUGCCUACCAUGGUGACCACGGGUGACGGAAUCAGGGUUCGAUUUUGGAGAGGGAGCCUGAGAAACGGCCACCACAUCCAAGGAAGGCAGCAGGCGUGCAAAUUACCCACCCCCGACCCGGGGAGAUAGUGACAAAAAAUAACAAUACAGGACUCUUUCGAGAUCCUGUAAUUGGAAUGAGUGCACUUUAAAUCCUUUAACGAUCCAUUGGAGGGCAAGUCUGGUGCCAGCAGCCACGGUAAUUCCAGGUCCAAUCGCGUAAAUUAAAGUUGCUGCAGUUAAAAAGCUCGUAGUUGGAUCUUGGGAGCGGGCGGGCGGUCUCCCAUGAGGCGAGCCACCGCCCGUCCCCGCCCCUUGCCUCUCGGCGCCCCCUCGAUGCUCUUAGCUGAGUGUCCCGCGGGGCCCAAAGCGUUUACUUUGAAAAAAUUAGAGUGUUCAAAGCAGGCCCAAGCCGCCUGGAUACCGCAGCUAGGAAUAAUGGAAUAGGACCGUGGUUCUAUUUUGUUGGUUUUCAGAACUGAGGCCAUGAUUAAGAGGGACGACCGGGGGCAUUCGUAUUGCACCGCUAGAGGUGAAAUACUUGGACCGGGCGCAAGACGGACCAGAGUGAAAGUAUUUGCCAAGAAUGUUUUCAUUAAUCAAGAACGAAAGUCAGAGGUUCGACGACGAUCAGAUACCGUCGUAGUUCCGACCAUAAAUUAUGCUGACUGGCGAUGCAGUGGCGUUAUUCCCAUGACCUGCUGGGCAGCUUCCAGGAAACCAAAGUCUUUGGGUUCCAGGGGGAGUAUGGUUGCAAAGCUGAAACUUAAAGGAAUUGACGGAAGGGCACCACCAGGAGUGGAGCCUGCGGCUUAAUUUGACUCAACACGGAAACCUCACCUGGCCCGGACACAGACAGGAUUGACAGAUUGAUAGCUCUUUCUUGAUUCCGUGGGUGGUGGUGCAUGGCCGUUCUUAGUUGGUGGAGCGAUUUGUCUGGUUAAUUCCGAUAACGAACGAGACUCUGGCAUGCUAACUAGUUACGUGACCCCUGAGCGGUCGGCGUCCCCCAACUUCUUAGAGGGACAAGUGGCGUUCAGCCACCCGAGAUUGAGCAAUAACAGGUCUGUGAUGCCCUUAGAUGUCCCGGGCUGCACGCGCACUACACUGACUGGCUCAGCGUGUGCUUACCCUACGCUGGCAGAUGCGUGUAACCCGUUGAACCCCAUUCGUGAUGAGGAUCGGGGAUUGCAAUUAUUCCCUAUGAGCGAGGAAUUCCCAGUAAGUGCGGGUCAUAAGCUUGCGUUGAUUAAGUCCCUGCCCUUUGUACACACCGCCUGUCGCUACUAUGGAUUGGAUGGUUUAGUGAGGCCCUCGGAUCGGCCCCGCCGGGGUCGGCCCACGGCCCUGGCAGAGCACUGAGAAGAUUGUGGAACUUGACUAUGUAGAGGAAGUAAAAGUCCUAACAAGGUUUCCGUAGGUGAACCUGCGGAAG